rnacentral:rRNA from 1 species
CCUACGGGAGGCAGCAGUGGGGAAUUUUCCGCAAUGGGCGAAAGCCUGACGGAGCAAUACCGCGUGAGGGAGGAAGGCUCUUGGGUUGUAAACCUCUUUUCUCAGGGAAGAACAAAAUGACGGUACCUGAGGAAUAAGCAUCGGCUAACUCCGUGCCAGCAGCCGCGGUAAUACGGAGGAUGCAAGCGUUAUCCGGAAUUAUUGGGCGUAAAGCGUCCGCAGGUGGCAGUUCAAGUCUGCUGUCAAAGGUCAGGGCUCAACCCUGAACAGGCAGUGGAAACUGAACAGCUAGAGUGCGGUAGGGGCAGAGGGAAUUCCCAGUGUAGCGGUGAAAUGCGUAGAGAUUGGGAAGAACACCGGUGGCGAAAGCGCUCUGCUAGGCCUGCACUGACACUCAGGGACGAAAGCUAGGGGAGCGAAUGGGAUUAGAUACCCCAGUAGUCCUAGCCGUAAACGAUGGAUACUAGGCGUAGCUUGUAUCGACCCAAGCUGUGCCGUAGCUAACGCGUUAAGUAUCCCGCCUGGGGAGUACGCGCGCAAGCGUGAAACUCAAAUGAAUUGACG